rnacentral:rRNA from 1 species
CCUACGGGUGGCAGCAGUGGGGGAUAUUGCACAAUGGGGGGAACCCUGAUGCAGCGACGCCGCGUGGGCGAAGAAGUAUUUCGGUAUGUAAAGCCCUAUCAGCAGGGAAGAAGAAAUGACGGUACCUGAGUAAGAAGCACCGGCUAAAUACGUGCCAGCAGCCGCGGUAAUACGUAUGGUGCAAGCGUUAUACGGAUUUACAGGGUGUAAAGGGAGCGCAGGCGGUACGGCAAGCCUGAUGUGAAAGCCCGCGGCACAACCGCGAGACUACAUUGGGAACGACCGGGCGUGAGUGCCGGAGAGGUAGGCGGAAGUCCUAGUGUAGCGGUGAAAUGCGUAGAUAUUAGGAGGAACACCAGUGGCGAAGGCGGCCUACUGGACGGUGACUGACGCUGAGGCUCGAAAGCGUGGGGAGCAAACAGGAUUAGAUACCCUGGUAGUC